UGGGGAAUAUUGGACAAUGGGCGCAAGCCUGAUCCAGCCAUCCCGCGUGCAGGAAGACGGCCCUCCGGGUUGUAAACUGCUUUUGGGCCAGAUGAAUAGCCGCUACGAGUAGUGGUAUGACGUUAUGGUCAGAAUAAGCACCGGCUAACUCCGUGCCAGCAGCCGCGGUAAUACGGAGGGUGCCAGCGUUAUCCGGAAUCACUGGGUUUAAAGGGUGCGUAGGCGGACUUGCGCGUCAGGGGUGAAAGGCUGCGGCUUAACCGUGGGAUGGCCUCUGAUACGGCGGGUCUUGAAUGAGGUGGAGGUGAGCGGAAUGCGGCAUGUAGCGGUGAAAUGCAUAGAUAUGCCGUAGAACACCGAUUGCGUAGGCAGCUCACUAGGCCUUCAAUUGACGCUGAGGCACGAAAGCGUGGGGAGCGAACAGGAUUAGAUACCCCCGUAGUCC
rnacentral:rRNA from 1 species